rnacentral:rRNA from 1 species
GUGCCAGCAGCCGCGGUAAUUCCAGCUCCAAUAGCGUAUAUUAAAGUUGUUGUGGUUAAAAAGCUCGUAGUUGAACCUUGGGCCUGGCUGGCCGGUCCGCCUCACCGCGUGCACUGGUCCGGCCGGGCCUUUCCCUCUGUGGAACCCCAUACCCUUCACUGGGCGUGGCGGGGAAACAGGACAUUUACUUUGAAAAAAUUAGAGUGCUCCAGGCAGGCCUAUGCUCGAAUACAUUAGCAUGGAAUAAUAAAAUAGGACGCGCGGUUCUAUUUUGUUGGUUUAUAGGACCGCCGUAAUGAUUAAUAGGGACAGUCGGGGGCAUCAGUAUUCAACUGUCAGAGGUGAAAUUCUUGGAUCAGUUGAAGACUAACUACUGCGAAAGCAUUUGCCAAGGAUGUUUUCAUUAAUCAGGAACGAAAGUUAGGGGAUCGAAGACGAUCAGAUACCGUCGUAGUCUUAACCAUAAACUAUGCCGACUAGGGAUCGGACGGUGUUAUUCAUGACCCGUUCGGCACCUUACGAGAAAUCAAAGUGCUUGGGCUCCAGGGGGAGUAUGGUCGCAAGGCUGAAACUUAAAGAAAUUGACGGAAGGGCACCACCAGGGGUGGAGCCUGCGGCUUAAUUUGACUCAACACGGGGAAACUCACCAGGUCCAGACACAAUAAGGAUUGACAGAUUGAGAGCUCUUUUCUUGAUUUUGUGGGUGGUGGUGCAUGGCCGUUCUUAGUUGGUGGGGGUGACUUUGUCUGCUUAAUUGCGAUAACGAACGAGACCUUAACCUGCUAAAUAGCCCGCAUUGCUCCGGCAGUGGCGCUGGCUUCUUAGAAGGGGACUUUCGGCU